rnacentral:rRNA from 1 species
GUCGGGAAUUUUGGGCAAUGGGCGAAAGCCUGACCCAGCAACGCCGCGUGAAGGAUGAAGUAUUUCGGUAUGUAAACUUCGUAAGAAUAGGAAGAAUAAAUGACGGUACUAUUUGUAAGGUCCGGCUAACUACGUGCCAGCAGCCGCGGUAAUACGUAGGGACCAAGCGUUGUUCGGAUUUACUGGGCGUAAAGGGCGCGUAGGCGGCGUGGUAAGUCAGCUGUGAAAUCUCCGAGCUUAACUCGGAACGGUCAGCUGAUACUGCUGUGCUAGAGUACAGAAAGGGCAAUCGGAAUUCUUGGUGUAGCGGUGAAAUGCGUAGAUAUCAAGAGGAACACCUGAGGCGAAGGCGGGUUGCUAGGCUGAUACUGACGCUGAGGCGCGAAAGCUAGGGUAGCAAACGGGAUUAGAAACCCCAGUAGUCC